UGGUGCCAGAGGCGGAGGGGCAGCUGCGCGGCUGUACGAGCUACAACAGCAGACUGACAUUUGGCCGGCUGGGAGAACCCAAUUUUAGAGGAGUAGUGCCGCGAAAAAGAUGAAGACAUCGAGAGGCAUGAGCUGUGGGCAUGAUCCCCUUCAAGGCCACUGACUACAUGAGGGAGAGGUUCUCAGUUGGACAGAUUUGUCUUUCAUUUCAUUACUCAGUGCUGACCUCUUUCUCUAUUUUUAUCUCAUUUUUCCAUUAGACUUUUUUAAGGAUGAUAAUAAUCUAUAAACAUUGUAGAAUGGUCAUGCUUCUCUUUGCAAGCUUAUAGCUUGAUUUACAUCUGAAUGACUUCGGCUUUAGUGUUUAUAGACUAGUUUCUUGAAUUGAUCAAUAUGGUCAUUCCAAAAUGUUAUCCAUAGAAUUUCAAAGCAUAACCACAUACUGGUGUACCAAAAUUUAAUUAGUGCAAUGUUAUUUCUCUAGAAACCCAA